UUCUAAUUUUAAUAUAUUUUUUUUAUUAAUCUUACAUUCCAUUUUGAUUAGUGAUAAGUGUUACAUUCCAUUUUGAUUAGUGAUAAGUGGUGAGGUGAAUUUAACUGUUCAUAGCAUGGAAUGAAAACAAGGUUUUUUUCAAAAUUGUGUAGUUGGAUUAUAUUAAACUACUAGUAUUCAUCUCGUGCUGAUAUUAUACUUUUAUAAAUUUUUAUAGUUUGUAAACCAGAUUUUUUUGGUUAUUUUAAAUCGUUUAAUCUGAUCCGAUCGAUCCAAAUCGAACCCAGACCAUAACAGGCUGAACGAUCUAAACUUGACGUAUCUACCACCACCACAUAUACAACACCACGGCACAUUUCUUAAAAGGAAGUCUCUUUUUUUGGGUCUAAAUGUUAAUUAAGACUUAAAUGGAAGUCCAUAAAAGGAUGAUAUAUUUUGCGGCAUAAAGCACCCGUUUACUGAGCAUGACUAGACCUGUUAAUUAAUGACAUGCCCAAACUCAUGAGUCGUGGCGGUGCAUCAUUUGGUGAUGUUAAUUUUAUAAGUUUUGGGCGGAUUGUAUCAAGAAAAUGGCGUGAAUAGAGACAUAAGAAGGGUGUAGUGACUAGUGAUCACGUUAAUAUAUACUUGCCUGUCCACCAAUCUGUCACUCUCCGUUUUACAACACUUAUUUAUUGUUAUUAUUCCCCUUCAUUAUAUAAUUCAAUUCACUCUCCUUCUCUCUCGCUUUCUCCUGUCUCUCUCUCUCUCUCUCUCAAAACACACACACGAUCCAAUGACGACGAGCGACAACGUGAGCGGAUGUUUUGGAGACACGAAGCUGACCAAAGUGUUCGUAGGAGGAUUGGCUUGGGUCACUCAAAAAGAAGCAAUGCAUGAUCAUUUCAUCAAGUAUGGUGAUAUCUUGGAGGCAGUCGUCAUCUUCGACAAACUCACUCGCCGUUCCAAAGGCUACGGCUUCGUGACUUUCAAAGAUGCGGAAGCCGCGAAGAGGGCUUGCGAAGACCCGACUCCGAUUAUCAAUGGGCGCCGUUCCAACUGCAAUCUUGCCUCCCUCGGUGGCCGUCAUCGUAGAUCCCCCACCACCAUGGCCUCUCCUCAACAAGGAUCAAAGAAUGUGAGUAGGGCCACGUCAGGACAUGUAGGGAAUAAUCAAGCUCAAUGGUACUACCCUGCGGGAUUCACACACCAGCAACAUCAACAUCAACAUCAACUUCAACGACAACACAAUCAUCAAGCCGUUCCAUUCUAUGGGUACCCUUCCUCCUACGUCGCCCCUAACAUGACCUUCAAUCAAAAAGUUGGAUACGUUGGAGGAACCUAUAUGAACGGAUACUACGCACAACCGCAACCUCAACCUCUGCCACAGCCGCAAUAUUACCACCACAUGUAUGGUGGAGGACGUGUAAUGGUUGCGGCAAGCCCGACGAUGAUGCCUCUCUACACUGUCUAUCCUUAUCAUCAAUCUCCGGCCAUCGGUUUUCCUCAGCCUUCUUUUACGAAACACAUUCCUACUCAUCACAUUUCAGGUACAGUUGGAGGAGGAGAUAGCAUAAUGAAGAAGGCAUAAGUUGAAAGGCUACAACAAGCUGUUAACAAAACGAUUCAGGCAUUCAGCUUAAAAUUAUUUUCAUUUCUUCAUCUCACAAUGUUUUAUUUUUAACCAUAUAGACAUAAAUCAAUUUUUUAGAAAAUUAUUUCUAUAUAUUAAUAAUUUUUAAACUAGGUAAUAGAGUUUCUUCUAAAGUAGCUAAGGUCUACUUCCUGUAUUGGAUUAGCCUAAUUCCGCCAUCCUCCGUCUUCUCUUCGCAUUUUGUUCAUUAAAAGUUAAUAGGAUUUUCAACCGAAUUAAUAAGUAAAAGUAUCUACUAAUCGGAUUAUAAAAACUUAAGAUAGAGGUUCUUUAACAACAUGGAAGUUUCUAGCUUAGAUUCAUAAUAUGUUUUAUACAUGAAAUCAACUUUUAGAUAUCUCUUAUAUAUUAAAAUAAAAACAUUGUCAUUUAAUGUGUGUGGCAGCUUCGCAACUAGUUAAAAAUGAAUACGGUGAUGUGUUACGUGCAGAAAAAAUCUCAACCAAAUUUUUCAUAAAUAUGUUCACACUAUAUACUAUUAUACGUUUUUUCGAUAUAAACUCAUAUGCAGGAGGAUUCUACGGGUUAUACAAAUGUUCAACAUAAAAAGAUAAUUUGCAAAAAAAAUCACUAAUGUAUAAGCCUAUUUUAUUUUGAACAAAAAUGUUUUUAAUGUUAAUUAACGGUAUCUUUAUAUAUUUAUCAACCAUUUUUAUAUAUUUUUACAUACACAUACAAGGUGUGGGCACGAAUCAGAUAUCUGUGGUUUUGGAGGUAUUGUGAUCCGAUUUAUUUUGUCCGAAUACUCAACUAUCCGAUUCGAUUUAAUUCAUAGCCAUCUAGAUAUUCGGUGUCCCGGUUAUCCCGAAAAAAUAGAUUUUUAACUAGUAUAUGAUUCGAUCCAUAAAAAUAAAUUAAAAAUCUAAAUAAUAUAAGAUAAUAAAAUUUUAUUACAAAGAUAAAAAAAUAUUACUUUUUUGAAUACUAAUAAAUAAUUUAAUAAAUUUAGUAAAUAAAAAUAUUGCAAGACUAAUAUAAAAUAUAAUUUUAUGCAUAUAAUAGAUCAGAUCGGAUAUCCAUUUUUAAAUAUUAGUAAUUUAGUAUAUGUGUAUACAUGCAUAUAACGGAUCAGAUUGGAUAUCCAUUUUUUUAAAUAUUAGUAUUUGUGAUUUUCUUUGUUUUACGGAUAUUGAAUAUUAGUAUUUGUUUUGCUUUGUAGAGCUACGAAUAUCCAUAUUUUUCUGUUCAAUCGAAAAUGAUAACAAAUCGAAUCAAAAUUUACGGAUAUUUUUCUCAGCCCUACAUACAUGUGCACAUUGAUAUGAGCACCUAUAUAAAUAAAUAUUCACUACAAGUGAGGAUUCUAAUUCUCUUGGAAGUUGGAAUUUUUUUUUAAUGUUUCCUAUCAAUACACCAAAUUGUAAUGAAAUGAUUUGUCUUAAUAAUUUUCUUUUUUUUUCUUCAAUUAUUAUCUAAAAUUGAUUUGAUUUUUCAUGCAUUUAGAAAUUAUAAUAUGAAAACAUUGGUUUGACAUCAGAACUGUCUAAAAUUUAUAUAACAUGAAACCAAAAAAAAAAAAUAGUUUUUGGCUAUCAUCGAAAAAAUCAAAAACCUCGAGCAUUUUAACCAAGUAAACAAAAAAAAUAUUGAUUUAGAAUGGUAGUUAUAUUUUAAUAGAUUAAAACCCAAAAAAAUAACCUAAAAACCGAACCGGCGAAUAUCAACUAUGAUUUUGAUUGGGUAUAUAUCAUCUCUUAUUUGGACAAUGCUUAGGAUUUGGAUGAGUAGAUCAAAGGUUUUUCGUUGAGCGUUGGCGUGCAUCUCUUCUUGCAACAUGAGUGUCAAUAUCCAGUGUUGGAAUUUCUAGUCCUAAGGAGUUACAUUAUCGAUGAACUUCCCUUGCACAUAUUGCAAGGUUGUUUAGUCUCUCGAGGAUCUCUAUCCGUGCACUCAAAGAAUUGACAUAAAACCGCCAGAAUUGACGUCUAAUCUUCAGUCAGAAUUGACGACAUGGUAUGUACUCACUAGAUUAUACCUUUGGGGUUUCCUUUCUAGGUCUGUAAGAAGACAAGUGAUCUUCACGGUGUUUAUUCGGCCCACGUUCUCUCAAGUUCCGUGGAGUUGACUGUCACGGUGUCACUAGUAAUCCAUUCAUAUAUAUUUUCAAAUAGUUUAAAAGUUGAAUGAUUCAUCCAUAUACAUUUUUAAAUAGUUUAGAGGCUGAAUGAUCCAUACAUGUUAAACAUUUAAAUUUUAAAGAUAAAAAUGUUUAGUUUCACUGUUCUGAAGACCAACCAUAUCCAGGUGAAAAUCUUGCAUAAUCUUUUGUCAAUACGAUUUAUUAUAUAUUGAUUUAAUAAAAUUUAUAAAUUAAUUGAAUGUUGUUUAGUGUUAAGAGGGAUUUUAGUUGCAUAAUAUUUAUUUAAGUGGUUUAAUUAACAUUCUUAUAAUUGUUUUGUUUACUUAUCUUCUUAAUAAUUUGGAUCAUAUUAUAAUCAGUUUAACUUUUUUUUUUGUUUAUAAUUAGUGUUAAGCAUUUAUCUUCAGAUAAUAUAUAUUCUGGAAAUUUUCAUAAUUAUUUUUGCUAUUAUAUUUAUUGUACAAUGUAGUUAUUUUCAAUGCGUAUGUUUUUAUAUAUUUUAUGUGAUGGCCAUUAAUAAAUUAUUAUGUUACUUAAAUAAUUUAUAUUUUAUUUUACAGAUUGUAGAUUAGUGCAUACAAAAAUAAAUGAUAUUGCUAAUAUAUAAAAAUAUGAAUACAUUUUUUUUCAUAUUUAUCAUAUUAAUUAAAAUUCAUAUUAAUACUGUUAUGCUCUAUACAUUUCAAUUAUAGCAUAAAAUUAAGAUUUUUAAUUCAUUAAAAUGAAUAUAAGUUUCAUUCAGUUAGAUAUAAAAUAUUCUAUAGCUUUAUUUUCGUAUACAACUUUUAUGAAAUCAUUCUGUUUAAAAAAAAAAAAAGAAUUGACCAAACAAAAACAUAUGUACAUAUAAUUAGAGAUUUGGCUAAUGAGUUUUGUUAAUUAUUCAUUCUAAAAUGAUACUUAUUAACAGGCUCUUUACCAGGAACAACAAAUAAACAUUAAUAUAAUAUUUUGUGUCCUUUUGUUUACUAUGGAUCUGCACGACCACGUGGAUUAUUUGUUGUUCCAAUCAUAAAAUUGUUCUAAUAGAUUUUUAAAGUGCAGAAAUAUCUUUUUAACAAAAUAUAAUAUAAAAAUCAUAAAAAAUUUCAAGAAAGUUGGAUACAAGAAUAAUGUUUCUGUUUUAAUAUGAGAGAAGGUUUAGUAAGAAGGAUGUUUUAUAUUGUUUGGACACAAGAUUAGUGAUUGCAUUGUUUAGAAACAUAGAUAGUAUCAUUAUAUUGUUUCAAUAAUUAUUUUGUAAUAGAGGAAUGUAUUGAAUUUAAAAUCUUGCAAAAAAGUUGGAAACAAGAGAAUAUUUCAGUUUUAUUAAAAGAGAUGUUAAAAUCGUGAAAUAACCAAUUAGGAAUCAUAAGUUCUUGAUUUUUUAAAAAUGUAAAACAAGUAAAAAAAAUCUAUAUUAUUAAAACUGAAGUAGAAAUAAGAGUUGCUUGGAAACAUAGAUAAUAGUAUACAUGUGAAUUGUUUGGAAACACGAAUAACAAUAUACAUGAGAAUUGUUUGGAAACACGAAUAGCAGUACAAAAUAAUACUUAUCUAUUUUUAAGUGAUUUUGAACAGAUUUUCAUUCUAUUUUUAAUCAAUUAUAACCAAUUCAUUUAUUAUCUUUACUGAAUAAAUUGAUAUAUUUUAUUACUGAAGUACAAUACAAAAGUUUUGUUUUUUUUUUAAUUUUUAUUUUAUCGUUUACAUUCAUUUUCUCACUUUUAUAACUAUUUCAUUAUUUAUAUUUAUUAUAAUAUUUUGACAGCAAUUAUUUUACAUAUUAACUAUAAUAAUUCGACAUAUUUGAAUGAAAUUACUCUAUUUGUGACAAGAAUUCAAAAUGAUUAACAAUUUUUUUUAUUUGUUUACAUAAUCAGUUAUACAUAAACAUUCACGUAUUUGUUCAGCUAUGAGUUAUUUCUUUUGGGUAUCAGGUUUUUUGAGUUUUGAAAUUAGACUUCACUCGAGUAUUAUAAAUUUUCAUGUAGGUUUCGAAAUGGAUCUUUCCAAGUCAAGAUGAAUUCAGUUUUGUUAUAUACAAACCUACAAAUAUCCAAAAACUAACGUAUAUGAAGCCGGUUGGAUAUUUGUACCAAAGUAACAAUAUUAACCUAUUCAGUUCAGGUAGUUUCAAAUCAAACUAAACAUAACCUAAAAAUAACCAAAUAACCAAUAGUAACCAUAUUUUCCUAUUUGAUUCGAGUUGAUUCUGAUAUAUAAAACUUAAAAGUAUUCAAAUAUACUUAUAUAUUUAAUUAUAUUAUAACACAUAUAAAAAAUAUAUAAUAUUAUCACGUAAACAAAAUUCAAUUUUUUUAAAAAAGUAAAAAUUAACACAUGCACAGACGUGCGGAUCAAUCUCUAUCAAUACUAUUAAAACAAAAGAACUUUUUAUAUACUAACAAAUAAUCUAGGUCGGAUCAUUACAUUUAUUUAACUUCAUAUUAUUUCUCAUACAACUAACUUACUUAUUAUUAAAUAUAUACUAUAUCUAACUAAUUAAUUUAAUAUUUUCAAAUAAGAUAUCUAAAAAGAUAUUCAUAAACAUCUUUUUCAAAAAAUAUAUUUUAAUAAUAUUUUUUUUUAAAUCUAGUCAAUACUAUUAAAACAUAAACAAAUUCUAUCUACUUACAAAUAGUCUAGGUUGGACCAUUAAAUUUAAUUAAUUUUCAUAUUAUCUUUACUUAUGUCUAACUUAAUUAUAAUUAAAUAUAUUUCAUGCCUAAAAUUAAGGAAUUAAAUAACUAAUCUAUCUUUUUGCAUGCUAAUAAAUUCAGUUUAUAUUAAUAUUAAAUUUAAGUAACUAAUCAAUUAAAUAUUAUUUAUUCAUGCCUACUAAUAUGUAUAUAUACAACUGUACAUUAAUCAAAUGCAAGAAAUAAAUUCUUCAAAAACCCUCACCAAAUACAUAAAAAUAAAAAUAUUAUAGUUAGAUUAUCCAAAAUUAAAUAUACAUAUAUAUAUAUAUAUAUAUAUAUGAUAGCAUUAAAAAUAAAGAUAACAUAAAUAUUAAUAAGUAGCUACUAUUAAUAUUUAAAAUAUGAUAGAACAUGUUAUUAUUGAUACUUUUAUGAAUAUAGUUUUUACAGGUUAUUCGAACAUACAUGUAAUAUAUUUAUCAAAUAUAAACUAAUUCAACAAAUAAAUUAACACAAUUAUAUCAUAAAACAUUACAUUAACAACAAGAUUAAAUUAAUAAAUAAAUAAAUGAUUAUACUUUUUGAAACGUAAAACACUAAACAUUCAUGAAUAUAUAUUAGAAUAUUCAAAUUGUUGAUGCUCAAAUCUAUUUCUCACUUUUUAGUAUGUAUCCUCUCAAAAAUUGAUCCGUUACGCUUAUAACAAGAUGAAAAUUGGUUUGACUAAAUUUUUUUAUAGCUAUUUUUUGUAAAAUUAGAGCAUCACAUUCAUAAUAUAUCUACCAUAAACCAUUCAUCUAAACAUUCAUGAAUAUAUAUUAGAAUAUUCAAAAUAAAAUAAUUUAAGUCAAAUUGGAUUACAUAUCGGGUUACACAUCGGUUUAAUAAUCGGCUUCUCGGUUUUAAUAUUUUACGGGUUUUGUAAGAUUUUUAAAUAACGAGUUUAAAAAAAAACCAACUGAAUUAUAUAUCGGGUCACCAGGAUUGCCAGUUUAACCAUGGAUUCAGGUCGGAUUUCAAAACACUAAAUAUAACAUUUCAUUCAUAACAUUUAAAUGUAGAUAUACAAUCAAAAAUACAAAUUUAAAUCAAAUAAAUUUGGUUUGUUUCGGAAAUAAUCUCGCACUUUCAAAGUACAGAUCAAAAUCUAGUUAUUGUAUUAAAAUAGAAGUCAUGACUUCUUUUAUGUGUGAUAUUUCAUUUCGGACUUUCAACUAGAAAGUUAUCACAUUUAAUUAAAUGAAAUUAUCCUAUCAUUUACAUGUUAACUAGGAUAAAACAUGCGUCUUGCGUAGGAUAAGUUUAUUUGUAUAUAUUAUCAACAAUUGUUUUUAUAUAUUUGAUCAUUUUAUCUAUACAUAUACAAUAUUUUUGUUGUUAUUAUAUAAUUUAUUUCUGAUGGACUGAAUCAAUUUUUAUUAAAAAUUGUGAAACUAAACUAUAAUUAAUAUAUCAUGAGUUGUUCAGAUUGGACAUUUAAACAAAUUAUGACAUUAAUUUUCAUAUAUAUGUUAAUCAUAUUAGGUAAUUUCGUAGCUUUUAUUUAAAAUAAAAACACGUUUCUUAUAUUUUAGGGUUAAUAUAAUAUUUCCUAAUAAUUGAAUUUGAACCAACAUUUUUUCAAUUGAUUUUGAAACUGCCACGUAAGUUAAUUGUCAUCUUAAUUAAGUGACACUUAAGCAUAGUCUUUUUUUUAAUUAGUACAAAAGUAAGAUUACAAAUUUUUAAAUGAUCAUCAAUUAAUAUAUAGAGGAUUUUACCUUUUUUUUUUUUUUGUCAACGUUUUUUUUCAUUCAAUUAGCCUAGUGGGCUAGUUUACAAGGCUUGUACGUUACAUUGAGAUCCAAUAAACAUGAAAUACAUAAAGAAGCCUAACAGCCUAAGGCCCAAGAUGAAGAUCGGUUAAUGCUUGCUGUCCAUCCACGUGUCGGUUUAUGAAGAAGCACGAGACACGUGCUGAUACGUGUCUAUCAUGCGAGACGGUGAACACAACCGCCGUAGUUCUUCGCCGCCGGGAAUGUUCUGAAUCGAACCUCCAUCGUUUGCUUCUCGACAACGUAAGAUUCAUGGAUCUCUCCUCAUGCAAACGGCAAGACCUCUUGUCUUCGACUUUCGCUCCAGCCUUUGCUUGUUUUUGGAAAGCCCCAUCCACCGUAGAUGAUAACACAGAGGUAGAUCGAAAAGCCAACAAAAGAUUUUUUGCCAGACCAUCUUCUAUAGAAGAUGCUGACUCUACUAAAUCUUUGCUUAAGCCAAUCGAUAUCAACCCAAAUCCACAGCUUCCUCUAUGCAAAGAUACUUUACUUUAAGCUAAUCAGCCUCACAAAGAGAGUAAAGAUUGACUCUCGCAACAAAGGAUUAAGUGCAUAUCCCUGGAGAAACAGAGCAUCCAACACAAGCAAACGGGAAGUAACAAUUUAUUGCGAAAGAGAAGAUUGAAGAAAACACAUAUCGCCAACGCGAAUUUAUUAAAGUUCAACCACAAAACUGAUAAAAGAAGAGAAGAUGAAGAACGGGUCAGUUUAGGGUUGAAAUCACCACAAAAUCGCCUACGCGAAAUUUAGAUCCGCUGACGGAAAACAAAAAAAU